rfam:Triticum aestivum genome assembly, contig: Triticum_aestivum_CS42_TGACv1_scaffold_640936_T_6BL-0.172751_7BL-0.092050
UUAAUACUCCUCUGUCUCAAAAUUCUUAUUUUAGAUUUGUCUAGAUACAGAUGUAUCUAAUACUAAGAGGUGACUUGAUACAUCCAUAUUUAGGCAAACGUAAGACAAGAAUUUUAAGACAGAGGGAGUAAUAU